CGUGUCACAGUCUGUGGUGGAAAUGUUAUGUUUGGAUUGAGGAAAAAUGACCAUGGGAUAAAUUACAAGCUUUGGACAAAGAAUACAUUUUCUCAGUGGAUGAGAAAUCUGGGACAGAAACCACCUGUAAAGCAUUCCCAUCAUGCUCUCUGCUCCAGACUCUACACUCCCCCGCUGAGGAGGGAGGUUUCCAACAAACAGGCCAAAAGUUCCUCGGGCCCCGUAUGCAAUCACAUACUGCAGCAUGAUGGAAGGCCCUCAGGAGCCCGGUACUAAUCGCAUUAUCAGGUUUGCACAGAAAAGUCAUUACAAGGCAGCUAGUUUGAGGGAAAUGUUAGCACUUGUUUUAGUGGUUGAAUAGAAGUUAGAAGUUUAUGACUGGGGGGAGCUUAGGUAAAGUGGUACUCUACAUGGCCAAAAGUACAGUAUGUGGAUACCAUUUAAUGGGUUUAUUUGGGCCCCUUAAUUUAUGUUGCCAAUUUUGUGGCUCAGGGUGGGCCCUUUUCUGUUCCAGCAUGACUAUGCUCUUGUGCACAAAGUGAGGUCCAUAAAGACAUGAUUUACUGAGUCUGGUGUGGAAGAACUUGACUGGCCUGCACAAAGCCCAACCUGAACUCCAUUGAACACCUUUGGGAUGAUUCACAAUGCAGACUGUGAGUCAGACUGACCCAACUGCACAUAAACUCACUUAUGUCCUUGUGUCUGGAUUGGAGCAAAUCUCUGCAGUCAUGUUCCAACAUCUAGUGGAAAGCCUUCCAAGAAGAGUGGAAGCUGUUAUAGCAGUAAAUGGAAGACACACUCUCUAUUAAUGCCAAUUGUUUUAAAAUGUUAAUGCUCAACAAGCACAUAUGACUGAUGUUAGUACUUAUCAUACAGUACUUUUGACCAUAUAGUGUUUUGAGAAAAUUGAAAUUGCAAACAAGCAAAGAAAAUGAACCAAUACAUAUUUAAUAUGGAUGAAUUGUAAAAAGGAAUUUAUUAUAAUGCUUUCAAAUGGAACACAUUAUCUCUAAAAGCAGCUGACCUUACAUGAACAUACAAUGACAAAAUGUACAUUAAAGAGGAUGAUUUACUUUAAUCAGUUUGUAGCAAUGAUCAUACGUUAAAUUCUAAAGGGUCAAAAUUAAAAACAUAAAGGAAGGAGGCGUUCAUUUGUGCAAGAGCAAGCUGUGUAGCAAUGCAUUAUCAGGAAUUGAAAGAUAUUGCUCAAUAAUAAUAUGAAAGAUGGGCUGACAUUAUUUAAUAUUAAUUCAGCCCACUUCCUUCCACCCAUUUACUCAUGAAAUA